rnacentral:rRNA from 1 species
GUUCAGAAAAUAAACGAACCCAACGAGCGACUUGCUGUGCUUGAUCUGAAUGGACUAGCAGAGCAGCUUCAGGGAAACCAAAGUGUUUGGGUUCCAGGUGAGGUAGCGUAGCAAAGAUGAAACUGAAAGGAAGUGAGGGCAGGGCCCCACCUGGAGCGGAGCGUGUGGUUUAAUUCGACUCAACACGAGUAAACUCACCCGGUCCGGACACGGUAAGGAAUGUCAGAUCGUGAGCUCUUUCUUGUUUACGUGGGUGGCAGGGCAGUUCCUAUUUUAGGUGGUGAAUUGUUUGGUUUGGUUAAAUAAGAAACGGGACGAGACUCUAGCACGUUAAAUAGGUGCGCUCAGUUCAUUCGCGGCUGUAGACUUCUUAGAGGGACAGAUGGCGUAUAGCCAUACGAAAUUGAGCAAUAACAGGUCUGUGAUGCCCUGAGAUGUCCGGGGCCGCACGCGCGCUACACUGAAGCAGUCAGCGUGUGCUAUCCGCGCUCGGAAGAGCUCGGUAACCCGCUGAAACUCCUUCGUGCUUGGGAUUGUGGCUUGUAAUUAUGGCGCAUGAACGAGGAAUUCCCAGUAAGUGCAAGUCAUCAGCUUGCGCUGACUACGUCCCUGCCCUUUGUACACACCGCCCGUCGCUACUACCGACUGAAUGGUUUAGCAAGGCACUCAGAUUGCUGUCGAUUUUGCACGCAAGUGUGAAAUCGAAGGUCGAGAAGAAGGCCAAACUUGAUCAUUAGAGGAAG